AUGUUACGAUCGAUCGUACUGUAGAGGCAAUUGACUGAGGUGGCUGACCG
rnacentral:tRNA from 1 species